rnacentral:rRNA from 1 species
UACGUAGGGGGCAAGCGUUGUCCGGAUUUAUUGGGCGUAAAGAGCUCGUAGGCGGCUUGGCAAGUCGGGUGUGAAAACUUCAGGCUCAACCUGGAGAUGGCACUCGAUACUGCCAUGGCUAGAGUCCGGUAGGGGACCACGGAAUUCCUGGUGUAGCGGUGAAAUGCGCAGAUAUCAGGAGGAACACCGGUGGCGAAGGCGGUGGUCUGGGCCGGCACUGACGCUGAGGAGCGAAAGCGUGGGGAGCAAACAGG